CCGCGGUAAUUCCAGCUCCAAUAGCGUAUAUUAAAGUUGUUGCAGUUAAAAAGCUCGUAGUUGAACUUCGGGAUCAAUUAGUUGGUCAUGCCUUGGUAUGUACUGAUUUUAUUGGUUCUCACCUUCUAAAGAACUAUAAUGUCAUUUAUUUGAUGUUAUAGGGAAUUAGGACUGUUACCUUGAAAAAAUUAGAGUGUUUAAAGCAGGCUCACGCUUGAAUACAUUAGCAUGGAAUAAUGAAAUAGGACAUCGCAUUCUAUUUUGUUGGUUUCUAGGAUCGAUGUAAUGAUUAAUAGGGAUAGUUGGGGGCAUUAGUAUUCAAUUGUCAGAGGUGAAAUUCUUGGAUUUAUUGAAGACUAACUACUGCGAAAGCAUUUGCCAAGGAUGUUUUCAUUAAUCAAGAACGAAAGUUAGGGGAUCGAAGACGAUCAGAUACCGUCGUAGUCUUAACCAUAAACUAUGCCGACUAGGGAUCGGAUGAUGUUGAUUUUUUAAUGACUCAUUCGGCACCUUACG
rnacentral:misc_RNA from 1 species